AAGAGGAUGACAGAUUGGUUAUGUAAUUGAUUUGAAAUUAAUUAAUGGGGGUUCAACUCCUUCUCUUCUUG
rnacentral:tRNA from 1 species